ACUAGCCUUAACGUUUGAACAUGUGGCGGUAGCACGUCAGUAAUUCUCUUGCAAAUUGUUAAUGGUAUUUACAGGUUUUUAAAGAGAGAAUUAUUGGGGUGUUACAAUCGGAUUGGGAUACCUUUGUUCAAAUCUGCACUUCUGAUGAAUUUAAGGAAUUAAGCGAAAAGAAUCGUGAAAAGGCAAAGAAGAAGUCCUCAAGUUAUCAUGGCGGUAGACUUGGGUACCAAUAUUUUGAAGAGGAGAUUGUAAAAGAACUUGAAAAGCAAGGAGUCCAUGUGUCACAAGUUCCACGGCAUCUAACUUGGAUUAAAGCUCAUUCUCAUGUCAAAGAUGGAGUUAUAACAUUUGUCAAUCUUGCUGAUAAAGAAAUCCAUGAUGCAAUAAUAGCAUUAGAGAGUCAAGUUCAAAGAGGUGAAAUCAUUGCUAAGGGUCGGGAUGAUAUCUUAGCAAAAGCAAUGCAUAAGAGUGAGCAUGGUGGUUCAGUGAGAGUUGUUGGUUCAGGCAUUACAGUGAAGGAUUAUUUUGGUUAUAACAAACUUGCUCCACCCAGCCAAUUGCAUGCUAAAAUAGGCAUGAUGAAAUCGAAACUUGUCUCCAUGGAUAACAGACAAAUUUUAUGAUGUCCUUCUUGAUUUCAUGCUGCAGCCAAGAGCAAAUAAAAUCUUUCAUGGCUGUUGGAGGUCAACAAGUUCGUUUAGGUGGAUUUUUUGGUGGCGACAAUACUGCUAGUAGUUUGGAUGCUUGGUUUGGUGGCCUGACAGGUGGGUCAGGUGGGUUACGUGGGUUUGGUGGCCAGACAGGUGGGUUAGGUGGGUUUGUGGCUUGACAGGUAGCUUAGCUGGUGGGUUUGUUAGCUUGGGUGGUAGGUCUAGUGGCCUGGGUGUUAGCCUAAUAGGUGGGUAUGGUGGCCUAAUAGGUGGGUUUGGUGGCCAAGGUAGUGGGUCUCUUGGCCUGGCUAGUAGGUCUGGUGGCCUGGAGGGUGGGUCUAGUGGUCUGGCAGGUGGGUCACGUGCUCCGCAAUUGAAUGAUACUUUUGGUCAGGACUUCAAGGUAUCCCUCUAACUCAACUGUUAACAGGCAAAAUUUUCAAGCAAGGGAGAAAAGGGCAUGGGUUUACCCCUGAUUCAUUAGGGGGGGGCAGAUAUUUAUGGUACACAAGGUAAUGGGAAAGAAGAUAAUUGCGCAAAAACGUAAUCUCAUACUGAAAACCUAGAGACUGAGGCAUAUCAUUUUCCCUGGCCUCAAACAGAUCGUAACAAUCAACUUAAGCCUACCACUAACCUUGCAAAUCAGAGUUGUGAUUUGAAAGAAUUUCCCAAGGGUAGAGUGAUUGUUGUUUAGCAAUCGAAGGAAACAACAAAGAGUUGCAAAUUGUUGCUAACGGACAGGUAGAGAAAACAACAAAUGUUAGAGCUACUCAUUCUAGAUUAAUGCCACCAGGUCAUGCUCGAGUCACAAUUACAGAAUAUAUUGUGCCAACUGCUCUCUUGCCAUGUCCUAAUGAUGAAGUAGUCUAUGUUUGUCAUGCAAAGAAAAGCUACACACCUUGGCCGAUUACCUUGAUUUUUCCGAGAAAGCGUCAUCUCAAGUAUCCACAACUCCUAAGUACGUUAUCACCGAAAAGGUUCACGAGAUGGUGACUUCCACGUGGUUAUGUAUGUUAAAUACUCAUGCUAUGGUAUUGAAAAAAAGGGGUGUGACACUCUCUAUACCAAUACCAAAAUGCAUGUUUCUUAAUGAAGAUGUGGGUGUGAUGCUUGACUACGAGGACUUGUUGGAUUGGUGAUUUAAAAGAGAGGUUGGAGAAUCCCAAAUGAACAUUUUCAUAAAGUACUUGAAAGGUCAUUGUCAGAAUGAAGGUGUCUCGGGUAUGUACGGAUUCUGUGACACAAAUGUUUUAUCUCCAAUGACACCAACUACAGAUGAGGAGGUUCGAUUCGACUAUCUAGCUCGUGUUUUUGGAUGCAACGAGGGAAAGAAUGUCAAUCAACUCUUCUUUGCUCCUUAUAAUGACAAUAUGCAUUGGAGGUUAGCUAUUAUUAGUACCUGGAAUGGACUAGUAUGUUGGUUAGAUCUGGCUGGGGAAGGAAACAAGAUCAAUGAGUUUGCUAAAAAGAUCAUAAAUGAGUACGUGUUAGGGGAUUAAAAAAAAUUCAGCAUGGUCCAUCGAAAGGACAUCAAGAAGAUAAAAAAGGAUCCAUAUAUUGAGUGGAAGCAGCCUAAGUGUCCUCGACAACCUCAAUACUCCAGGUUUGUGGAUACUAUGUUUGUCGCUAUAUGCUUGAGAUUAUACAGAAAAGGGUAUUGUGGGUUUCUGAUAAGUUUUUUAAAGAGGACCCCUGUACAUAUUCAACUGAAAAUAUUGACGAAAUUAGAGACUUGUGGGCUAAGUAUGUUCUAGAGCUUGAACAAGAUGAUGUUAAUGAAGGAAAUGAAGAUGGUAUGGACAUUGCGUGAGUUUAGUUUGUCCAUUACUUUUGGGAAAAGUAUUGCGAUUUUUAGAAUUUUUUGUAUAGUACUUUUGGAGAUUAUCUUAGAUGGCAUGGAAAUUAAAUUAGUGGUUUAUAUUUUUGGGGAAUACUGGAUUUUAUUUUACAGAUGUUGAUGUAUAGUAUUUUUGGAGGUUAUACUAUAACUAAUGGAUAAUUGUAAAAGUGUUUGUCAACUUUUGUUUAUUAUUGUAUGCUCCAUGAAUAUUAUAAAAUUAUGGAGUAAUGUAUAUGAUGUGCAUAUAUAUAGAAGGUGAAAAAUAUAGGUACAAAUAUCCUACAGGUGCCAUAUAAGAACAAAGACAGCUCAUAUACCGUACAUGAACAAAUACAAAUAUAAUUGGAUUUCGGGAAAAAAAAUUUUAAAAAAAAAAAUAACAAAGAGACCUGUUAUCG